CUACCAUGGCAGUCACGGGUAACGGAGAAUUAGGGUUCGAUUCCGGAGAGGGAGCCUGAGAAACGGCUACCACAUCUACGGAAGGCAGCAGGCGCGAAAAUUGCCCAAUCCUGAUUCAGGGAGGCAGUGACAAGAAAUAACAACUCUCGACUAUGUUGAGAAGUGUAAUGAGGAUAAUUUACAAACCUUACCAAAUGCAAUUGGAGGGCAAGUCUGGUGCCAGCAGCCGCGGUAAUUCCAGCUCCAAUAGCGUAUAUUAAAGUUGUUGCAGUUAAAAAGCUCGUAGUUGAAAAUCUGAUUGCUCAGGUCUCCAGCCUUUAGGCGGGGAUUCUGACAGUCAUCCGCUUGCAAACAUAUGUUCGAUCUUCACCGGUUGGCUAUGUGAGUAAGCACUUUACCUUGAGAAAAACAGAGUGUUCCAGGCAGGUUUGUCCGGAAUGCAUUAGCAUGGAAUAAUAGAACAUGACUGAAGUCUAUUUAUUGGUUAAAGGCUUUAGUAAUGAUUAAUAGGAACAGUCGGGGGCAUUCGUACUCAGCAGUCAGAGGUGAAAUUCUAAGAUUUGCUGAAGACGAACUAAUGCGAAAGCAUUUGCCAAGGAUGUUUUCAUUAAUCAAGAACGAAAGUUAGGGGAUC
rnacentral:rRNA from 1 species